UACGUAGGGGGCAAGCGUUGUCCGGAUUUAUUGGGCGUAAAGAGCGUGUAGGCGGCUUUACAGGUCCGUUGUGAAAACUCGAGGCUCAACCUCGAGACGCCGGUGGAAACCGUAAAGCUAGAGUCCGGAAGAGGAGAGUGGAAUUCCUGGUGUAGCGGUGAAAUGCGCAGAUAUCAGGAGGAACACCCGUGGCGAAAGCGGCUCUCUGGGAUGGUACUGACGCUGAGGUGCGAAAGCGUGGGGAGCAAACAGG
rnacentral:rRNA from 1 species